GUCAAGCCCCGGCCUGCCCCCGGCACAUCAGGCCCUGCGAGCCUGGUGAGAGUGCUCCCCGGCUCCGACAGUUCAGCGGCAGAGGCUGCUCUACAAAAUGGGAAUUACCUAUGCUGAGAUGCAGGAGCCUGUGAUGGCCUCUUCUGAGGUAGCUGCCUCAGAAGACACUGCUGAUUCCUCAGGACCUACCCUAGACACCCCUCUUUGCCUUUGGAACUAUGACAAGACUCAAGUCCCUGCAGGCCAUGAAAGAUGCAGCAGAAGACUCGGAGCAAACCCCAAACCCCACUGAACGGCAUGGUGUCUAGCAGCUCCUGAGUACCACUUUGCAAUGAUCAGCUCUUCAGGGCUCCAGCUGACCUCACACAGGUGCAACCUCACACCACCCUGCCUAUAGUGCACUCUGCUCAGAGUUCUCAGUAGACAGUGAUGCCAGGGGUGCACAGUCAUAGCCCUCUUAGUGCCUAUGCAUGCACAGGCCAUGCAUGUGGGGUGUGAACUCCCUCUGGGGUGAGCUCUGUCCAGUAGGAUGCAGGAUGGCUGGCCCCAAAACCAUACUUUCCAGUGGACUCCUCCUCCUUCCCUUGUUUCCCUAGGUUGUUACUCCUGCUCCCUGGGCUUGUUCUCCUUGGUAACAUAGAGCACAUUAGCCUUUGCUUCAGACCCUGCUCUCUGAGCCUCUCAUGCUGAGACAAAUACAUACUUUUAACGUCUGGUUCUCCCACUUUCAAAUUGGGGGUAAUAAUACCUUCCUCAUGAGGUUACUUUGAAGAUUAAAUACAGAUUAUUUAUUUAUUUAUUUUUGAGACAGAGUUUCACUCUGUUGCCCAGGCUGGAGUGCA